AAAUUGAAGAGUUUGAUCAUGGCUCAGAUUGAACGCUGGCGGCAGGCCUAACACAUGCAAGUCGAACGGUAACAGGAAACAGCUUGCUGUUUCGCUGACGAGUGGCGGACGGGUGAGUAAUGUCUGGGAAACUGCCUGAUGGAGGGGGAUAACUACUGGAAACGGUAGCUAAUACCGCAUAACGUCGCAAGACCAAAGAGGGGGACCUUCGGGCCUCUUGCCAUCGGAUGUGCCCAGAUGGGAUUAGCUAGUAGGUGGGGUAACGGCUCACCUAGGCGACGAUCCCUAGCUGGUCUGAGAGGAUGACCAGCCACACUGGAACUGAGACACGGUCCAGACUCCUACGGGAGGCAGCAGUGGGGAAUAUUGCACAAUGGGCGCAAGCCUGAUGCAGCCAUGCCGCGUGUAUGAAGAAGGCCUUCGGGUUGUAAAGUACUUUCAGCGGGGAGGAAGGGAGUAAAGUUAAUACCUUUGCUCAUUGACGUUACCCGCAGAAGAAGCACCGGCUAACUCCGUGCCAGCAGCCGCGGUAAUACGGAGGGUGCAAGCGUUAAUCGGAAUUACUGGGCGUAAAGCGCACGCAGGCGGUUUGUUAAGUCAGAUGUG
rnacentral:rRNA from 1 species